UACGUAGGGAGCGAGCGUUACUCGGAAUCACUGGGCAUAAAGGGCGUGUAGGCGGAUGUGCAAGUCUGUUGUGAAAGCCCCCGGCUCAACCGGGGAAUGCCAGCAGAUACUGCAUGUCUUGAGUGCGGGAGGGAAGAGUGGAACUCUUGGUGGAGCGGUGAAAUGCGUAGAUAUCAAGAGGAACGCCGGUGGCGAAAGCGGCUCUUUGGCCCGUAACUGACGCUGAGGCGCGAAAGCCAGGGGAGCAAACGGG
rnacentral:rRNA from 1 species